AGGAAGCUUUUCUCCUGCGUGGCACAGUACCCCAGCGGGUGUUUGCACUGAGACCAAAGUGUGGAUCUGGACUUCUUGGAAACUGAAAUGAGGGAAUUUAUCAGCAGAUAGCAGGCAACUUUUCCAACAAGUUGAUUUAUGGAGUUGGCUGGCAAAGCCUUGAAUGCAUCGAGAAAUACGACUCCUGCAGUGGACCAGAGCAUCGUUAAUGAAUGGUUCCUCUUUAAACUGGGAGCUGUGCUGGUAAAAUCCAUGGAAUCCAGUCAUGCAUCCCCAGGUGCACAGUGCCGCUGGAACGUUCUGUGGAGAGCUUCUGGUUGUUAAAAACUGGGUUUAUAACUGAGGAGUCCUCUGGAUCCCCUGGGCCGUGGCUUUGUGCUGUACCUCUCCGUCUGCAGUCCCCCUCUGACUUCAGCGAGCUUGUUGUCUGUUCUGAGAGCGUUUUCCAUCACUUGAGCCUGGAAGGGAAGAGGAUUUAUGGAACGGGGAGCGUGAGGCACCAGCUCAGCACAUACCAGAAUGUGCAGGAGCUCUGGGACCAUAACUGGGAUGGGGAUGAGUGUUAUGAGUGAUGCUGGUGCUCAGCUCUGGUUCUGCCAGAAAGGGAAAGGGGACGAGGCUUUGAUGUGGCACAGAGGACCCUCACGUUCCAUCCAGGC